UACGAGGGGGGCGAGCGUUGUUCGGAAUUAUUGGGCGUAAAGGGUGCGUAGGCGGUUUGGUAAGUCUGAUGUGAAAUCUAUGGGCUCAACUCAUAGUCUGCAUCGGAAACUGCCGGGCUUGAGUAUGGGAGAGGUGAGUGGAAUUCCUGGUGUAGCGGUGAAAAUGCGUAGAUAUCAGGAGGAACACCUGUGGCGAAAAGCGGCUCACUGGACCAUAACUGACGCUGAUGCACGAAAAGCUAGGGGGAGCAAACAGG
rnacentral:rRNA from 1 species